AUCCUAACAAGACAUAUCCAAAC
rnacentral:snRNA from 1 species